rnacentral:lncRNA from 1 species
GCAGGGGUGCUGGCACUGUGGGUCCUGGUGACGCACGUGAUGUACAUGCAAGAUUAUUGGAGGACCUGGCUCAAGGGGCUGCGCGGCUUCUUCUUCGUGGGCGUCCUCUUCUCGGCCGUCUCCAUCGCUGCCUUCUGCACCUUCCUCGUGCUGGCCAUCACCCGGCAUCAGAGCCUCACAGACCCCACCAGCUACUACCUCUCCAGCGUCUGGAGCUUCAUUUCCUUCAAGUGGGCCUUCCUGCUCAGCCUCUAUGCCCACCGCUACCGGGCUGACUUUGCUGACAUCAGCAUCCUCAGCGAUUUCUGACCCAGGGGGCUCAGUGUAUGCUUAAUCAGGCAUGGUGCAUCAGAGCGGGAAGGAGCCAUCAACAGUGUAUACUUCUGGAGCCUUCUACUGAUAAACAGAGGCCCCAGAAGACGAUUUGACUUACCUGAGCUCCCAGCUGGGACUUAAACCCAGGUGUGUCUGAGUCACAACUCUUCGGGGAUGCCGUGGUGAGCUGGGGCUGAGCUCCUGUAUUCCCACUCCCCCACCCCACCCCCACUCCUGCCAUAUCAGGGCUGGUCUCUGUGGACUCAGCCCAGGGCUGCCUCCUCUUUGUCACCCCAAAGUGGGGCAGCCAGGGACAGCCAGGGUGUGUUCAGAAUGGGUUCUUCCUGCAGGGCAGGAAGGGCAGAUUGUUAAAGGGGCUGCGGCCCAGACCACCCUGGUCCCUCCUCCGGCAGUGACUCAGACCCACACUGUGCCGUGCAGCUGUGUGCCCUGCACACCCGCUUGACGGCGCACUGCUCACUUCUGGGGGGCCCUUUCAGAGGCACUUUUAAAGCAAAUAAAACAUUUAUUGUUC